GACGAACGCUGGCGGCGUGCCUAACACAUGCAAGUCGAGCGCGAAAGGGUCCUUCGGGGCCCCGGUAGAGCGGCGAACGGGUGAGUAACACGUGGGCAACCUGCCCUGAGGACUGGGAUAACUCCGGGAAACCGGUGCUAAUACCAGACGUUCUUGCAGCACUCAAGUGCUGCAAGCAAAGGUAGCUUCGGCCUCCGCCUCAGGAUGGGCCCGCGGCCUAUCAGCUUGUUGGUGAGGUAAUGGCUCACCAAGGCUACGACGGGUAGCUGGUCUGAGAGGACGAUCAGCCACACUGGGACUGAGACACGGCCCAGACUCCUACGGGUGGCUG
rnacentral:rRNA from 1 species